GAGGUGGGCGGAUUGCUUGAGCCCAGGAAGUUGAGGCUGCAGUGAGCUGUGAUCAUGCCACUGCACUCCAGCCUGAGUGACAGAGCAAGAGCCU
rnacentral:miRNA from 1 species